rnacentral:lncRNA from 1 species
GGCUUUAGACCACAAAACCUGGGGCUGACUCCCAGCCCAUCCAUGGGUACGUGGCACCACAGUCCUGUGAGGUAGCAGAGUGCCACCGUUUUGUAGUUGGCAGACACUGGAGUUCAAGAAAGUGGAGCCGUUUUCCCAGGGUUACGAGGCCAACCUGACUCCUGGGUUCCUCGGUCAGCCGUGUGUCCUGCUGUGUUCUGUCCAGGACCAGAGCCUGGCCCUGGGGCUUGCCAUUCAGCCUCAUCCCUCCCAGAAGGGCUGGCACUUCCCCAGGACACAGGAGCCAUCAUGCACAGGGGACAGCCCUGAGCCAGCUCAGAGGAUCUUAUAAAAAUCAACAGAUCAACUCCUUAAAAAAUAGUCUCUGGUGUCUACCGACUGCUAGGCGCUGUCGCAGACUCUACGUGUAGAAAUUCACUUAAUUCUUAGAACAAGCCCACGUGGACACGACUGUUUCACAGACGAGGAAGCUCGGGCACAGAGAGUUGAAGUAACCUGCCCGAGGUUGCACAGUGGGUGAGCGAUGCAGCCCGCCGGGCUCCAGGGAGGCACCACAGCGUCAGGGGAGAUGCAGCAGCUCCAAGGACCAGCCGAGGACAAGGACGGGGGCGGGGUCUGCUUCCUCUCCCCCAGCCCUGGAAUGUCCCAGGCGCUGGCCAUGCAGGCUCCACGUGGCCCCGCAUAAGAAGGCCUGAGCUCUGCUGCCCUCUGGGUCUAGUUCCUCUUGGUGUCUCACCGUUAGGUAGAGGCUCUGACCGAGGGCAGGAGCUCUGUGACAGUUUAUUGAAAGACAGUAUAAAGGUGACAAGUGUCACCCAGGAGACUGCCUGGCUUCCAGGCUGCCCAGGCCCCUCCUGGUCUUCAGGGGCCAAAAGCCCUGCUGGUGGUUUUGGGGUGCCCUGGAGUAUCCGGGCAUGGGUCUGGACCUGGGAGGUGAGGGCUGAGACCCCAAAUCCUGAGGUCACUCCCCACAAGCAACAGCCCUUGUCAUUGUGGCACAUGACACUUAGUUGGCAUGGAGAUUCCGAAUCUGCCAUCGUCCCAUCUCACAGAGGAAGCAAGGGAGCCCCGGAGAGCUGUCCCAGCUGUCAAUACCGUCCCUCGGCGCCUUGAAAGCUGGCCUCUCGGAGGUCCCUUCAGGGUCCCUCCCUCCUCGGGGUGCCCCUCGCGUGGUCCACGUGACUCCUCACUUCUGACACACAGUCUUUGUCACUAGUCUGCUGUCCCCUGAGCUGGACGGGGCAGUGAUGGUCUUGAGCACCUCUGUCUUCAGUGCCCGGCGCUGUGUGGUGCAGAGGAAGCCACAGCAGAGCUGCACCCUGUUUGCAUAUGGUGACGGGCGGGUGCUGGGUGCUGUCCCCGGCCCUGCCACCCUGACCAGCCGGGCUGCUUUCCUGUCUGCAGCAGAGAUGGUUCACCCCCCUUCCUGCCCUCAAGCUCCGCCUGCCACCAGCACACAAUGGUGGUGCACAAUGUCAGGGUGGCAGCUUCCGGAGCAGCCGCCCAGUGCUGAGCACACCUGCCCUGCGCCAACCACGGGCACCUGCACCCAGCCCAGGAGCCUCCCAGCUGCUGAAAGCCGCUCUGCCCGUGCGCGGGAAAGCCGCACGGCUCGGGGAUUUGGCGCCCCCUGGAGGAUGCUCAGCCGAGGUCUGGAGGGGGCUGGUGUCUGAAUUCCCAGCACCUUCCAGCUGUUGGUAAGAGGGUCCUGAGGCUCUGGCUGUGCACCAGUUCCCAGGCUUCCCAAUAGGACGAGCCUCAGGAGUCCUUGGCUCAACAGUGUGAUAAAAUCCCUUUGAUAAGCUGGGCACGGUGGCGCACACCUCUAAUCCCAGCGGCUUGGGAGGUUGAGGCAGGAGGUUUGCAAGUUCAAAGCCAGCCUUAGCAACUUAGCGAGGUCCUGAGCAACUUAGGAAGACCCUGUCUCAAAAUAAAAUAUAAAAAUGUUGGGCUGGGGAUGUGGCUCAAGCGAUAGCGCGCUCGCCUGGCAUGCAUGUGGCCUGGGUUCGAUCCUCAGCACCACAUACAAACAAUGAUGUUGUGUCCGCUGAAAACUAAAAAAUAGAUAUAAAAAAAAAUCUC